AAUGACGAGUUGAGCAGCAUUCACCUCUCAUCAGACCUUGAGCCAGCUCCCCAACCAAAUCAAAUACAUGGGUCUUCACUGUCAUCUGAUUUGAAAAGGGACAGUCAGGAUUUCCAGGAUGGCUUCUGCACAUAUCUGCAGUUAGCAUAUUCAGAGCAAGCUGAUGCUUUGGCUCGACAGAAAGAGGUUUCCUUCCAGCUGCCUGCUGUGCUGCAGGGACUGUCGUACGGGGGACCCGUGCUGCGCAUUCUCUCUGUGCCUGAUGACACCUUAAUCAUGAUCAGAGAAGAUGGAGCCAUUUAUUUCUGGUCCCUGCAGCUGAAGUUGAAAAGAAGAAAGCGAGUUUUUGACAAGCCCAUCAUUCGGAAGCGCCGGUGGGUGACGGAUGCCACCAGCAUGCCACAGUACAACAAACUGAUCCUAGGAACUGGGUGAGUGCCUGCAGCUCUUCAACUGGGAAGUGAAUAAUUGUUGGGCUGUGAAAUUCGUUUCCAUGUGUGGGUUUACACACACACACACACACACACACACACACACACACUUGUAGUAAUAGGAUAAAGUAUGAAGCCCUUUAAAGAAUAUACUAGAACUCAUACAUCCAUCAAAACUGCCAUGCAAAGCUAUCACUUUGAGGCAAUAAUAUUGUCCUUGCCUCAAACUGAUGGGGUCCUCUUUUGGAAUACUUCCAGAGUGAGAAAAAA
rnacentral:lncRNA from 1 species